UUACACAGAAAACAAUGUAUAAUUAAUGAUAUGAUAAUAUGAAAAGUAUCUUAAAGAUUUGAUAAAACUACAAAUAUCGAACUAGUGGAAAGUAUACCUUGAAGAUUUGAUAAAACUUUUCAAAAAUAUACUAGUUGAACCGUUAAGAGAUAAUAAAAUUUGUUUUAAUGAAACAAACUUUCUUUAAAAUGAAACAAAA
rnacentral:lncRNA from 1 species